rnacentral:rRNA from 1 species
UACGUAGGUGACAAGCGUUGUCCGGAUUUACUGGGCGUAAAGAGCGCGCAGGCGGUCGAUCAAGUCGAGUGUGAAAGCCCCCGGCUCAACUGGGGAGGGUCAUUCGAUACUGAUCGACUCGAAGGCAGGAGAGGGUAGUGGAAUUCCCGGUGUAGUGGUGAAAUGCGUAGAUAUCGGGAGGAACACCAGUGGCGAAGGCGACUCACUGGCCCGGUACUGACGCUGAGGUGCGAAAGCGUGGGGAGCAAACAGG